rnacentral:rRNA from 1 species
GACGAACGCUGGCGGCGUGCUUAACACAUGCAAGUCGAACGGUGAAGCGCCUUCCUUUUUGGUGGGUGUGGAUGAGUGGCGAACGGGUGAGUAACACGUGAGUAACCUGCCCCCUUCUUCUGGAUAACCGCAUGAAAGUGUGGCUAAUACUGGAUAUUCUGGGUCUGUCGCAUGAUGGGUCUGGGAAAGAUAUUGUUUCGGUGGGGGAUGGGCUCGCGGCCUAUCAGCUUGUUGGUGGGGUGAUGGCCUACCAAGGCGGUGACGGGUAGCCGGCCUGAGAGGGUGGACGGUCACACUGGGACUGAGACACGGCCCAGACUCCUACGGGAGGCAGCAGUGGGGAAUAUUGCACAAUGGGCGCAAGCCUGAUGCAGCGACGCCGCGUGAGGGAUGGAGGCCUUCGGGUUGUGAACCUCUUUCGCCAGUGAAGCAGGCCUGCCUCGUUUGUGGGUGGGUUGACGGUAGCUGGAUAAGAAGCGCCGGCUAACUACGUG